GACGAACGCUGGCGGCGUGCUUAACACAUGCAAGUCGAACGAUAAAGCCGUGCUUUUGUCGUGGGUUAGUGGGGCACGCGGGAGAGAUACGCGAGUGAACUCCCUCUGUCACUGGGGUAUAACUGGAGGAAAGGGUGGAAUAUAGCGGACGACAACUCCCGGCGCGGGGUGUGGGUGGAAAAGGUUCGGGGGUGGUUUUAGAUGGGCCGGCGGCUUAUCAGCUUGUUGGGGAGGUAGUGGCUUACCAAGGCGACGACGGGUAGCCGGCCUGAGAGGGUGACCGGCCACACUGGGACUGAGACACGGCCCAGACUCCUACGGGAGGCAGCAGUGGGGAAUAUUGCACAAUGGGCGCAAGCCUGAUGCAGCGACGCCGCGUGAGGGAUGACGGCCUUCGGGUUGUAAACCUCUGUUAGCAUCGAAGAAGCGAAAGUGACGGUAGGUGCAGAGAAAGCGCCGGCUAACUACGUG
rnacentral:rRNA from 1 species